rnacentral:rRNA from 1 species
CCUACGGGAGGCUGCAGUGAGGAAUAUUGGUCAAUGGACGAGAGUCUGAACCAGCCAAGUAGCGUGAAGGAUGACUGCCCUAUGGGUUGUAAACUUCUUUUAUAAAGGAAUAAAACGUGGCACGUGUGCCUUUUUGCAUGUACUUUAUGAAUAAGGAUCGGCUAACUCCGGGCCAGCAGCCGCGGUAAUACGGAGGAUCCGAGCGUUAUCCGGAUUUCUUGGGUUUAAAGGGAGCGUCGAUGGGUUGUUAAGUCAGUUGUGAAAGUUUGCGGCUCAACCGUAAAAUUGCAAUUGAUACUGGCAGUCUUGAGUACAGUUGAGGUAGGCGGAAUUCGUGGUGUAGCGGUGAAAUGCGUAGAGAUCACGAAGAACCCCGAUUGCGAAGGCAGCUUACUAAACUGUGACUGACAUUGAUGCGCGAAAGUGUGGGUAUCAAACAGGAUUAGAUACCCCUGUAGUC